CUGUGCUCCAGAUGGCUCUUUUUCAGGGUCAAGCCAUGAUCUUGACAGUGAUUAUAUUCCAUCCCCCCAGACUCCUCAGACACUGAGUCCAAUGCUUCUGUGAUCAACACAGACCCUAAAAAAGACCCUAAACCCCAAGAUGUUGCUCCAGCAUCAGCAACCAACAACAUAACCAACAGAGACAAGGAACCUCCCAACACAGACAAGGAAAGAGACAUAGAGGUCCCAUUCUUUUGACAUUAAGUCGUAGAAGCUCUAGUUAGUCUUGUCUCGCCCUGCUCUUUUUGCUCAGUGUCUUGAGAUAACACUUUUUUAUUAAUCGGCGCCAUACGAAUAAAGAUUGGUUGAUAGAUGAGUAUGUUGAAUUUAAUGCUGACCUGAUAUCUUCUUUUCUUGUAGACGCUCUGACUCCAAAGACCUCAACUCAGAGACCACCAGCCAAGCCAAAAAGGACUCAGAAAACAGGGUUCUCCAAAAAAAAAGGGUGCAAAGAGGAUCUCUCCACUGGUUCAAGAUUCAGAAGAGGAAGCAGACGCUUUGACAACAAAUGCAUUCGCAGACCUUGGAGUUCCAAAGAAAAGGAAGCGGUGUGGCGACAGCUGGGUCAAAACAUCAUUCUAAAAAGAGUUCCUGGAAAGGAACUGUGCUCCAAGGCUCUCGAUGCAGAACCAGUGCUCAGCACCCGAGACUGGAGAGAUGUUAAAAACCAAGUUCAUCACCUCCAGUCACCAUAAACUCCGGCAGCCAGGAUGUAGUGGUGAUCACUCCUCCCUCCACUGUAGCAGGCGAGGCCAGGAGGAAGAAGAAAGAGGAGCCAGAGUGGGUCAAGAUUCUGAGACAGGUGACUGAGAGGGAUGAAGAGAGGGAGAGGAUCUGUACGGAGAAGGAGUACAGGAGGGAGAGGGAAGCACUGGAGAGAGAGG